GUGGGGAAUAUUGGACAAUGGGGGGAACCCUGAUCCAGCCAUGCCGCGUGUGUGAAGAAGGCCUUUUGGUUGUAAAGCACUUUAAGCGAGGAGGAGGCUACCGAGAUUAAUACUCUUGGAUAGUGGACGUUACUCGCAGAAUAAGCACCGGCUAACUCUGUGCCAGCAGCCGCGGUAAUACAGAGGGUGCAAGCGUUAAUCGGAUUUACUGGGCGUAAAGCGCGCGUAGGUGGCCAAUUAAGUCAAAUGUGAAAUCCCCGAGCUUAACUUGGGAAUUGCAUUCGAUACUUGUUGGCUAGAGUAUGGGAGAGGAUGGUAGAAUUCCAGGUGUAGCGGUGAAAUGCGUAGAGAUCUGGAGGAAUACCGAUGGCGAAGGCAGCCAUCUGGCCUAAUACUGACACUGAGGUGCGAAAGCAUGGGGAGCAAACAGGAUUAGAAACCCUGGUAGUCC
rnacentral:rRNA from 1 species